UACGUAGGGUGCGAGCGUUAAUCGGAAUUACUGGGCGUAAAGCGUGCGCAGGCGGUUCGUUGUGUCGGCGGUGAAAGCCCCGGGCUCAACCUGGGAAUGGCCGUUGAAACUGGCGAACUGGAGUGUGGCAGAGGGGGGUGGAAUUCCGCGUGUAGCAGUGAAAUGCGCAGAUAUCAGGAGGAACACCGGUGGCGAAGGCGGUUCUCUGGGCAACAACUGACGCUGAGGAGCGAAAGCUAGGGGAGCGAACGGG
rnacentral:rRNA from 1 species